AGAGUUUGAUCAUGGCUCAGAACGUACGCUGGCGGCACGCCUAACACAUGCAAGUCGAACGAAGUAGCAAUACUUAGUGGCAGACGGGUGAGUAACAUGUGGGUAUCUGCCCUUUGGCCUGGAAUAACACGAGGAAACUUGUGCUAAUACCGGAUAAGUCUUUACGGAGAAAGCUUUAUGCACCAUUGGAUGAGCCCGCACUUGAUUAGUUUGUUGGUGGGGUAAUGGCCUACCAAGACUGUGAUCAAUAGCUGAUUUGAGAGGAUGAUCAGCCACAUUGGGACUGAGACACGGCCCAAACUCCUACGGGAGGCAGCAGUGGGGAAUCUUGCACAAUGGAGGAAACUCUGAUGCAGCGAUGCCGCGUGAGUGAAGAAGGCCCUUGGGUUGUAAAGCUCUUUCGUCGGGGAAGAAAAUGACUGUACCCGAAUAAGAAGGUCCGGCUAACUUCGUGCCAGCAGCCGCGGCAAUACGAAGGGACCUAGCGUAGUUCGGAAUUACUGGGCUUAAAGAGUUCGUAGGUGGUUGAAAAAGUUGGUGGUGAAAUCCCAGAGCUUAACUCUGGAACUGCCAUCAAAACUUUUCAGCUAGAGUUUGAUAGAGGAAAGCAGAAUUUCUAGUGUAGAGGUGAAAUUCGUAGAUAUUAGAAAGAAUACCAAUUGCGAAGGCAGCUUUCUGGAUCAUUACUGACACUGAGGAACGAAAGCAUGGGUAGCGAAGAGGAUUAGAUACCCUCGUAGUCCAUGCCGUAAACGAUGUGUGUUAGACGUUGGAAAUUUAUUUUCAGUGUCGCAGCGAAAGCGAUAAACACACCGCCUGGGGAGUACGACCGCAAGGUUAAAACUCAAAUGAAUUGACGGGGACCCGCACAAGUAGUGGAGCAUGUGGUUUAAUUCGAAGAUACGCACAGAACCUUACCAACACUUGACAUGUUCGUCGCGACUUUAAGAGAUUAAAGUUUUCGGUUCGGCCGGACGAAACACAGGUGCUGCAUGGCUGUCGUCAGCUCGUGUCGUGAGAUGUUGGGUUAAGUCCCGCAACGAGCGCAACCCUCACUUUUAGUUGCCAUCAUUUAGUUGGGCACUCUGAAAGAACUGCCAGUGAUAAGCUGGAGGAAGGUGGGGAUGACGUCAAGUCCUCAUGGCCCUUACGUGUUGGGCUACACACGUGCUACAAUGGUAUCUACAACAGGAAGCGAAACAGCGAUGUUAAGCAAAUCCUUAAAAGAUACCUCAGUUCGGAUUGCACUCUACAACUCGAGUGCAUGAAGCUGGAAUUACUAGUAAUCGUGGAUCAGCGUGCCACGGUGAAUGCGUUCCCGGGUCUUGUACACACCGCCCGUA
rnacentral:rRNA from 1 species